rnacentral:tRNA from 1 species
GGGCGCGUAGUUCAGUGGUAGAACGCUAUCCUGAUAAGAUAGAAGUCGUAGGUUCGAUCCCUACCGCGCCCACCA